rnacentral:rRNA from 1 species
CCCCUAGAUGUUCUGGGCCGCACGCGCGCUACACUGAACAGUUCAACAAGUCUUAACCUUGGCCGAUAGGUCUGGGUAAUCUUUGAACGCUGUUCGUGAUUGGGAUAGACCUUUGCAAUUAUGGGUCUUCAACGAGGAAUUCCUAGUAAACGCAAGUCAUCAGCUGGCAUUGAUUACGUCCCUGCCCUUUGUACACACCGCCCGUCGCACCUACCGAUUGAAUGGUCCGGUGAAAUCUCGGGACGGCGGCUUGGUCGCUUGCGUCCGACUGCUGAAACUUGAUUAAACCAUAUCAUUUAGAGGAAGGUGAAGUCGUAACA